UACGGAGGAUGCAAGCGUUAUCCGGAAUUAUUGGGCGUAAAGCGUCCGCAGGCGGUUUUGAAAGUUUGCUGUCAAAGCGCGGAGCUUAACUUCGUACCGGCAGUGAAAACUCCAAGACUAGAGUUUGGUAGGGGUCACGGGAAUUCCCAGUGUAGCGGUGAAAUGCGUAGAGAUUGGGAAGAACACCAGCGGCGAAAGCGCGUGACUGGGCCUGAACUGACACUCAUGGACGAAAGCUAGGGGAGCGAAAGGG
rnacentral:rRNA from 1 species